UACGGAGGGUGCGAGCGUUGUCCGGAAUCAUUGGGCGUAAAGCGCACGUAGGCGGUCCGUUAAGUCUCUUGGUGAAAGGCUGGGGCUCAACCCCAAGCAUGCCGGGGAUACUGGGGGACUGGAGACAGGCAGAGGCCAGCGGAAUUCCGGGUGUAGCGGUGGAAUGCGUAGAGAUCCGGAAGAACACCGGAGGCGAAGGCGGCUGGCUGGGCCUGAUCUGACGCUGAGGUGCGAAAGCGUGGGGAGCGAACAGG
rnacentral:rRNA from 1 species